CCACGCCUACGGGAGGCAGCAGUGGGGAAUAUUGCACAAUGGGGGAAACCCUGAUGCAGCGACGCCGCGUGAGUGAAGAAGUAUUUCGGUAUGUAAAGCUCUAUCAGCAGGGAAGAAGAUGACGGUACCUGAGUAAGAAGCCCCGGCUAACUACGUGCCAGCAGCCGCGGUAAUACGUAGGUGGCGAGCGUUAUCCGGAUUUACUGGGUGUAAAGGGCGUGUAGGCGGGAUUGCAAGUCAGAUGUGAAAACUAUGGGCUCAACCCAUAGCCUGCAUUUGAAACUGUAGUUCUUGAGUGCUGGAGA
rnacentral:rRNA from 1 species